rnacentral:rRNA from 1 species
AUUGAACGCUGGCGGCAGGCCUAACACAUGCAAGUCGAGCGAGCGGCGGACGGGUGAGUAAUGUAUGGGGACUGCCCGAUAGAGGGGGAUAACUAAUGGAAACGGUGGCUAAUACCGCAUACGGUCGGAUAACCCAUAUGGGAUGAGUUCGUGGGUAAGGUAAGGGCUUACCUAGGCGACGAUCCCUAGGUGGUCUGAGAGGAUGAUCAGCCACACUGGGACUGAGACACGGCCCAGACUCCUACGGAGGCAGCAGUGGUGAAUAUUUCGCAAUGGGCGCAAGCCUGAUACAGCCAUGCGGCGUGUAUGAAGAAGGCCCUAGGGUUGGAAAGUACUGUCAGUCGGGAGGCGUUACCGACAGAAGAAGCACCGGCUAACUCCGUGCCAGCAGCCGCGGUAAUUC